UUGUUGGGUAGGGGAGCGUUCUGUAAGCCUGUGAAGGUGUACUGUGAGGUAUGCUGGAGGUAUCAGAAGUGCGAAUGCUGACAUAAGUAACGAUAAAGCGGGUGAAAAGCCCGCUCGCCGGAAGACCAAGGGUUCCUGUCCAACGUUAAUCGGGGCAGGGUGAGUCGACCCCUAAGGCGAGGCCGAAAGGCGUAGUCGAUGGGAAACAGGUUAAUAUUCCUGUACUUGGUGUUACUGCGAAGGGGGGACGGAGAAGGCUAUGUUGGCCGGGCGACGGUUGUCCCGGUUUAAGCGUGUAGGCUGGUUUUCCAGGCAAAUCCGGAAAAUCAAGGCUGAGGCGUGAUGACGAGGCACUACGGUGCUGAAGCAACAAAUGCCCUGCUUCCAGGAAAAGCCUCUAAGCAUCAGGUAACAUCAAAUCGUACCCCAAACCGACACAGGUGGUCAGGUAGAGAAUACCAAGGCGCUUGAGAGAACUCGGGUGAAGGAACUAGGCAAAAUGGUGCCGUAACUUCGGGAGAAGG
rnacentral:rRNA from 1 species